CCCUUAGAUGUUCUGGGCUGCACGCGCGCUACACUGAUGCGUUCAACGAGUUUAUGACCUUGCCCGAUAGGGUUGGGUAAUCUUUUUAAAUCGCAUCGUGAUGGGGAUAGAUUAUUGCAAUUAUUAAUCUUCAACGAGGAAUUCCUAGUAAGCGCGAGUCAUCAGCUCGUGCUGAUUACGUCCCUGCCCUUUGUACACACCGCCCGUCGCUCCUACCGAUUGAGUGGUCCGGUGAAUAAUUCGGACUGCAGCAGUGUUCAGUUCCUGAACGUUGCAGCGGAAAGUUUAGUGAACCUUAUCACUUAGAGGAAGGAGAAGUCGUAACA
rnacentral:rRNA from 1 species